CUCUGUUCGUCCUUCCGCCUCGCUCCAGCCGUCGUCUCUCGUUCUCUGUUCCUCGUUCCGCGUCAACUCCACCCGCCGCUGCCGUUGCUCCCGUCGCUCGCCAUCAAUCGCCAUCGCCAUCGCUUUGCUUGUUGCUUGCUUGCCGCGUCGCCGUUGUACUUCCUGAUGGCUCCUCUCGCUGCUGCUAUUGCGUUUGGUUAGGGGUGCCUGUGGCUGCUUUGUCGUGCGUCCGUGCGGCUGUUUGUUCCUUCUUUCCGAGAAAUCGCACUAAUCGGUUCGUCGUCAGAUUUGCCUUGCUGUUUCAUGUGCUCAAAGGAUCAUCUUUCUCUUCAGGAAUUGGCGUGAUCAGUUGAUAAUCAAGUUUACCUUGUUAUUUGAUCUGCUGGGCAUAUCGACUCUGCGGUAAGCCUUUGAUCUUCUUCUUAAUUUGGAGAUGGCUUUCGACUCUCUGUCUGAUGUGUCGCCAGCGAGCCGGCACUGGUCUAUUCGUGUGCGUGUUGCACGUAUGUGGGACUACUGUGGAACACGUGAUGGACAUCCUCCAAUACAUGUUGAUCUUGUAUUGGUGGAUGAGAAGGGUAACCAUAUUUAUGCUAAGAUUCCUGGAAACGAAGCAACAAAGUUCAAACAGCUUGUUGAGGAGCAGAAAGUCUACUGCUUCAAGAAGUUCUUGGUUGUUCCAAGCAAAGCUUCUUACAAGCCAUUCCCUGCCAAGUAUAUGAUUAGGUUCACACCAUGGACCACCGUUGUAGAUGCAGAGGAUGUUCAUCCAGAGUUCCCAAUGUAUGUGUACAACCUCAUGCCAUUCUCCGAACUGCCAUCACGUGUUGGUGCUCAGGAUUUCUUUGUUGAUGUCAUUGGGCAAGUUGUUGGUGUGUCACAGCUGGCAUACGUGCGCAUGCCUACAAACAUAGCUGACACUCCAAAGCAAGUCAUUGCCCUCAGAGACGACAGGAAUACCGAAAUGAAAAUCGUUCUGGGGACAAAGGGCUGUUGAGUUUGAAGCACAGCUUGUGUACGACAAUGGACAGAACCUACCUGUUGUUGGUGUUUUUGUUGGUCUUCUGAUGAAAUCUUACAAUAAUGAUGAAACUCUGAGUGGAGGAUCUGCAUGUAGAUGGUAUCUAAACGAGGACAUUCCUGAAAUAGAUGACUGCUUUGAAAGGUUGGGUGAUGAUUUCCAGAAAGUUCAAUGGAUAUCAAAUGGUGCUGAGAAGUUUGCCGCAAAACGCAACCGAGCUGACCUGCCACAGAGAAGUGUCGACGAGCUUCGAAACAUGGACCCAUGGGAGACAGAGAACACGGAUUUCCUUUGCACCGUCACAAUUACAAAGGUGAUGCCUGAGCAGCCAUGGUGGUUCCAAUCGUGUUCUAAGUGCCAUCGGUCAGCCACCUCUUAUGGCUCCGAGUUCAAAUGCAGCGCAGGAUGUGUGUCGACGAAAGCUUACCCAAAAUUCCGUCUUUGUUUGGAAGGAACAGAUGGCACAGGCACAGCAGAGUUUGUGUUCUUUAACCGAGUUGCACAACAACUUGUUGGAAAAUCUGUCAUGGCACUGCUAAGGUCAUCUGGGCUUCCUCGCGAGAUAGCUGCUAUUGUGUCUCAAAAAUACACCCUCGCUGUCUCGGUGACCCAAAAGAGCCUAUCACAGAGAAACAUCUCAUUUCAAGUGAAUGGCAUUGAAACCUUCUUUGGGAGGCAGAACUCUGUGCCACAUGAUACUCGUGCCUCUACUGUGAUGCCCCUCGUAGCUCCAGCUGGUUCUUUAACUGACCAUGCGCCUGCUCUACCUAACAAUCCCAGCUCUGGUGAAGGGAUUCCUGAGCUCCCCAUAGAGACUGACAAAUAAAUCAAAAAGUCAAGCACAUCACGCGUGCCGCUUCGUCUCCUGAAGAGAAAGAAUACUAAUGCCUCUGCUGAAGUAGAGUUGUCAAGCAAAGUGACUGAAAAUGAUGCUUCAAGUGAUGGAACUAUAGUCCUGCCAAUUACACCUCCCAUGUAUGUAUCUCGUCAAAUUCACAAAAAUUAUUGUUUCCUCUUGCUUCAUUUCUAUCAAUUCAUUGUAAUGUCGCUUCUGCCACAUACAAAUCCACAAACACGAUCAAGAACAACAACAUUGAAGUCCUGGAAAACCAGUCAUUUAGUUCACUAUCUUUUUGAAAAACACCAACAAAUUUUGUUCCGCUUUCAUAAUUAUGGUAAUCUCAUGUUUGUCUACUAUGUUUACAUCUCUUCUGAGCUCUUGUUUGCAACAUGCAUUACUGCGCUGCUGAAGAGCUUACAGUUGCAUCAGGAACUUCCACUGAGCAGACUACCCCUCCUAAGAAAUCUAAGAUUGACAAGACUGUUGUUACUGCCUCUGAUCCUCCAAAGAAGCCCAAGAAGGGAGACAGUGGCUCCAAAACAAAGUGAUAUCCUUCACCUCUUGCGUUUGGAUGGUCACAUGAGCGUAAGAUGCUGGCGUUUAAGCUCAUCCGACUCUGCAUGUUCACUAUUCCUGCCAAUGAAACUCCCUUAUGUUAUGUAAUAUAUCAAUGAUCCACCAAAGUAGUAGUGGAGCCAAACUUACCAGUAUUAGAUGAUAUCGACCUCAUGUUCAGCCAACUACUUUUCCGUUUACCGUUGCUCAUCAGCGUAAGCAGAUUUGCUGUGCAUCUGUUCUGUAGCAGAACCUUAAAAGACUUAAUAUUCAGCUAGCUAUUUUUCCCUCUCAUGCCAUCUGUUGGCAUAGGCAGAAGAGCUGAGUACAUAUUGUGUAUAGUUUAUUCUACACUAGAAACUUGUAAAACGUAAUAUUCAGGCAGUUGCUUUUCCCUUUCAUGUCAGUUGCUGGCAUAAGCAGAGGUGCUGACUACAUAUUGUACAUAGUACUACCUUGUAAGACUUGAACCUAAGUUAUGGUUUCCCUUAUGCAGUAAAGUACUUAUGUGUAUUAUA